GGCGAGGAGAAAAAAAAUUUGAAAUUUCAAGAAGAGAAUAUAAGGGAACAGAAAAAAAGGAGGCAGCUGCUACACUCAUUUUGGCUUUUGAAUGCGGUACAGAGGUGGAAGCACCACUUGCAUCUUGCCAGUUUGGAAGAAGAGAAAAUUCAAUUUUGAGAAGAGAAAGUAAGGGAACAGAAAGAAAAGGACUUCGGGUUGCAUGCACCCUGGUUUUCUCUACCCGUAUACUUUUGUUUUUAUCUUAUUUCAUGAUUUUUUUAUUUUUAUUAUUUGAUUAUCA
rnacentral:lncRNA from 1 species